AAUCCAUAGGUUAAUGAGGCGAACCGGGGGAACUGAAACAUCUAAGUACCCCGAGGAAAAGAAAUCAACCGAGAUUCCCCCAGUAGCGGCGAGCGAACGGGGAGGAGCCCAGAGCCUGAAUCAGCAUGUGUGUUAGUGGAAGCGUCUGGAAAGGCGCGCGAUACAGGGUGACAGCCCCGUACACAAAAGCGCAUGUGCUGUGAGCUCGAUGAGUAGGGCGGGACACGUGGUAUCCUGUCUGAAUAUGGGGGGACCAUCCUCCAAGGCUAAAUACUCCUGACUGACCGAUAGUGAACCAGUACCGUGAGGGAAAGGCGAAAAGAACCCCGGCGAGGGGAGUGAAAAAGAACCUGAAACCGUGUACGUACAAGCAGUGGGAGCCCCACCACUAAGCCAGUGGUGAACUCCACAUACGCAUCCUUUGCUGAGGAUACGGUUAACGGAGCGAAAGCGACGUUCAACCGCAAAAGAAGCAGAGGGGGCUUAGUGGUGGGGUGACUGCGUACCUUUUGUAUAAUGGGUCAGCGACUUAUAUUCUGUAGCAAGGUUAACCGUAUAGGGGAGCCGCAGGGAAACCGAGUCUUAACCGGGCGUUAAGUUGCAGGGUAUAGACCCGAAACCCGGUGAUCUAGCCAUGGGCAGGUUGAAGGUUGGGUAACACUAACUGGAGGACCGAACCGACUAAUGUUGAAAAAUUAGCGGAUGACCUGUGGCUGGGGGUGAAAGGCCAAUCAAACCGGGAGAUAGCUGGUUCUCCCCGAAAGCUAUUUAGGUAGCGCCUCGUGAAUUCAUCUCCGGGGGUAGAGCACUGUUUCGGCUAGGGGGCCAUCCCGGCUUACCAACCCGAUGCAAACUGCGAAUACCGGAGAAUGUUAUCACGGGAGACACACGGCGGGUGCUAACGUCCGUCGUGAAGAGGGAAACAACCCAGACCGCCAGCUAAGGUCCCAAAGUCAUGGUUAAGUGGGAAACGAUGUGGGAAGGCCCAGACAGCCAGGAUGUUGGCUUAGAAGCAGCCAUCAUUUAAAGAAAGCGUAAUAGCUCACUGGUCGAGUCGGCCUGCGCGGAAGAUGUAACGGGGCUAAACCAUGCACCGAAGCUGCGGCAGCGACACUGUGUGUUGUUGGGUAGGGGAGCGUUCUGUAAGCCUGUGAAGGUGUGUCGUGAGGCAUGCUGGAGGUAUCAGAAGUGCGAAUGCUGACAUAAGUAACGAUAAA
rnacentral:rRNA from 1 species